rnacentral:rRNA from 1 species
GACAGAGGGUGCAAACGUUGCUCGGAAUAACUGGGCGUAAAGGGCGCGUAGGCGGACAAGUAAGUCGGGCGUGAAAUCCCUAGGCUCAACCUAGGAACUGCACUCGAAACUGCAUGUCUUGAGUACCGGAGAGGAAAGCGGAAUACCUGGUGUAGAGGUGAAAUUCGUAGAUAUCAGGUGGAACACCAGUGGCGAAGGCGGCUUUCUGGACGGUAACUGACGCUGAGGCGCGAAAGCGUGGGGAGCAAACAGG